UUUCAGACUCCUACGGGAGGCAGCAGUGGGGAAUAUUGCACAAUGGGGGAAACCCUGAUGCAGCGACGCCGCGUGAGCGAUGAAGUAUUUCGGUAUGUAAAGCUCUAUCAGCAGGGAAGAAGAUGACGGUACCUGACUAAGAAGCCCCGGCUAACUACGUGUCAGCAGCCGCGGUAAUACGUAGGGGGCAAGCGUUAUCCGGAUUUACUGGGUGUAAAGGGAGCGUAGGCGGCGCGUUAAGUCUGAUGUGAAAACCCGAGGCUCAACCACGGGAGUGCAUUGGAAACUGGCGGGCUGGAGUGCCGGAGAGGUAAGCGGAAUUCCUAGUGUAGCGGUGAAAUGCGUAGAUAUUAGGAGGAACACCAGUGGCGAAGGCGGCUUACUGGACGGCAACUGACGCUGAGGCUCGAAAGCGUGGAGAGCAAACAGGAUUAGAUACCCCAGUAC
rnacentral:rRNA from 1 species